UGGGAAGAGCUCAAAUUUUAAAUCACCUGGGUUUCCUUGGUGAAUUGUAUUUUGAAGAAAGUGUUUUGACGUUCGGGUUCAAUUUAAAUCCUUUGGGAUAAGGUAUCAUAGAGGGUGAGAAUCCCGUUUAUGAUUGUUCCUUUGAAUGUCUGUAAUUCACUUUCUAA
rnacentral:rRNA from 1 species